rnacentral:misc_RNA from 1 species
GGAUGGAUGUCCUCCUUACCUGCAAGAACCUGCCUUUGUAGUGUCCACACAGAUUGUCUGAUGAAAAAUAAGCAGUAAAAGAAUCUCUGCAGGCUUGUAGCUCAGGUGGUUAGAGCGCACCCCUGAUAAGGGUGAGGUCGGUGGUUCAAGUCCACUCAGGCCUACCAAAUUUGUUCUGAUAAAGAAUGAAUUACCGGUAACGAGAUUGCAAUUACGAUGGGGUUAUAGCUCAGCUGGGAGAGCGCCUGCCUUGCACGCAGGAGGUCUGCGGUUCGAUCCCGCAUAGCUCCACCAUCCUUUUACUGCUGAAAACAAGAAAACUUCAGAGUGUACCUGAAAAGGUGCACUGCGAAGUUUUGCUCUUUAAAAAUCUGGAUCAAGCUGAAAAUUGAAACGACACACUGUGUCUGCUCUCCGUAAUAAGAGCAGAUGAGCGGUGUGUUCGAGUCUCUCAAAUUUUCGCAACACUGCGGGUGUUUUACGAAACAUCUUCGGGUUGUGAGGUUAAGCGACUAAGCGUAC